rnacentral:rRNA from 1 species
GUGCAAAGGUAGCAAAAUAGAUAGUCUUUUAAAUGGAGACUGGGAUGAAUGGUUAGACGAGAUAGAAACUGUCUCUAUUAUUAUAAUUUAAUUUUACCUUUAGAUAAUAAGGUCUAAAUAUAGGUAAGGGACGAUAAGACCCUAUAGAACUUUAUAUGAAUAUGUUUUGUUAAAAUAUAUUUAUAUUUUAUUGGGAGGGUAUGGAAAGAGAAUAAACUUUUUAAUAAUGAAUAUGAAAGAAUAGAUUAAGUAUCCUAUAUUAUGGAAUUUUAGUAAGUUACCUUAGGGGUAACAGCUUAAUUUUUUUUAGAGUUCUUAUCGAGAAAAAAGAUUAAGGCCUCGAUGUUGGACUAGGAUAACUUUAAGGUGAAGAAGCUUAUNAAGGNAAGUCUGUCCGACUUUUUAAUUCUAACGUGGAUCUGGAGUCCANACC